GUAUUUAUGGGGUAGUGGUAACCUGGGUCGUUGCCAUAUCUUGUCUGAGUUGGUUGUUUGACCCGCCGGAGGUUCAAUUCCUUCUUAAUGCA